UGUCGCGGUGUCGCACCGGCGCUGUCGCGGUGCCGCACCGGCGCUGUCGCGGUGUCGCAGCGGCGGGCGCGGCCCAAGGCGGGCGAGUCGCGGCCGCUGCGGGUCCGGAGGAGGGUCCAGGGAGAGCCGGGGAGGGCUGAGGGACACCCCCGGGAUGUGCCCCGCUGGGCCCGGACGCGGAGGGGUCCAAGGGAUGGCGGGAGGGAGAUGCAGGGUUCCCCUGGGGGAUGCACCCCUGUGUACUCGCGGAUACGGGGGACCCCCGGCAGGACUCACCCUGGAUGUGGGGGGAUGCAGGAGACCCCCGGAGGAUGUUCCCUGUGUACCGGUGGGAUGUGGGGCACACCCAGUGGUUACACCCCUGUAUAUGAAGGGAUUUGGGGGUGCAGCCCUCGGUGGCUGGAGAGAUGUGGGGGAUUCUCAGAGCAGGGGAUCCCACUGCAGCAGGGUAUCCGUGGGAGAGCUCACUCCAGAGAACUCUGGGGCCCAUGGUGGAGGGGAAUGGGAUGGGAAUGGGGUGGGUGGUGCACCCCAGGGCACCUGGGGGAGGUGGGAGGCCAGAGCAGCGAUGUCCUGCUGGUCCUGGAAGGGUGGGGGGUCCUGGCCCCACCACACAAUGAGAGGCUGGGGGUCCUGCCUGGUUCUUUCUGCUGAGCCCCAAAGUGGGGAUGGAGAAAGAGGAGCUGGGAUGGGGGUGCGGGGGGCCGUGUGUGGGGUGCCAUGGCCCAGGGUACCUACAGGGUGUGUGAUUUGGGGUGCCAUGGCCCAGGGUACCUACAGGGUGUGUGAUUUGGGGUGCCAUGGCCCAGGGUACCUACAGGGUGUGUGAUUUGGGGUGCCAUGGCCCAGGGCAGGCCCAGGCUGAGCAUUCAGGGUGCUGUGCCCUGCGACGUGGAGUGUGUGGUUCGGGUGACGCAGGCACCUGCCCACACCAGCACUUCCUGCCCUGGCGCUGCCUCACCUGUGGGCACAGGGCCAGGGCAGGGCUGUGGAACCAGCCUGGGAGCUGCUGGCCUGGAAACCUGGGAAUGGGACCUGUUUUGCUACUUGACCUGUGUUGGGAAAGCAGGGAGUUGCUCCAGAGCAGACCUGUGGAGUUUUCUGUAUGAAUUCUGGAUUUUUUCCCCUCCAAAAGCUGUUGUGGCUCAGACUGUGGUAACAGUAGAGUCACUGUAUAGGUUUAAUUUUCCUGUUCCUUCCUGUGGAAGUAGUUCCUGAAGGGGCUGGUUUUGUGCAGGUCUGAGCUGAAGAACAACACUGAAAAAAACCCAAACUGAAUGAAACAUCCCCCCUAGUCUGUGUAAUUAUUAAAAAGAAUUACUUUUAACAAGCUUUUGUUUAAUUUUGUUGUCCCUUCCAGUGGACCUGGUUGAUGAAGGGGCUGUUCUAGCAUCUGUCUGAGCUGAAGAACCACAACACUGAAAAAAACCCAAACCAAACUGAACAAACCCCCCUAGUCCUUUUUUUUUUUAAUUGUUAUUUUUAACAAGAACAUCCUGACUAACUCCUUCUGCUCUGCCUGCAUCCCUUGAGUCACAGCACCACGAGAUUGCCAAGCCCUUCCUUCAGUGCUUUUCCAUUAAACCCUACAAGCUGCUCCUGAGUGAAACCUUGAAUCACAAAAGGAGAAACCUUGAAUCACAAAAGGAGAAACCUUGAAUCACAAAAGGAGAAACCUUGAAUCACAAAAGGAGAAUUUCUCUGUCCCUGCCUCCCGUGGGUCUCCAGGCUUUGCCCACGGCUGCCAUGAGCAGUGUGGUCAUUCUGAGCUGCCCUCCUGGGUGACAGGCUUGGGGUGACCAGCAGAAGGCUGCCCCAGCCAAAGAAAGCCCUGGAGCCUUGGACAGUCCUUAGACACCCCCUGGGGACACCCAACGUCUGGUACCAAUCCAAAGCCACCCGCCAGGCAGGAAGGCCACCAGCUCCCCAGGUUGUGGGGAUGUGCUGGAUCCGUGCUGAUUAACCUGCCUGCUCGUUAAUUUGGCAGCAGAGAAACAGCGACUGCUCGGCAUCGCUUUGGGCUGACUCACUCUUGGCGUACCUGGGACUGCCGGGGUGAAGGCGGCUGGCAGGUGUGGUGGUGGGGUGGUGUAGUUGUGUUGUUGUUGUUGGGGUGGUGUAACUGGGGUGGUGUAGUUGGGUCAUUGUUGUUGGGGUGAUAUAGUUGGGGUGAUGUAAUUGAGCUGAUGUUUGGUUUUGAAAGCAAAACCAGUGAGAGACUCCAAGUCAGAAAUACAGUUUAUUA